CAAUUUAAAGGAAAAAAAUUCAGGGGCCUUUGUCAUUGAAUUUUGUAGGGGCCAGCAGUAUGGGGGCAUGUUGAGACAUUGGUAAGUCGUUGCAUCUAGCCCAAACUACAACCAAGAGAGGCACCACUCUUAGUAGGUCUUUGGGAUUUUAGAGGCAACAUAUUCCUGUGAGUGUGCUGCUCCAAUCCAUGUACUGAAUGGCUCAAAAAAGCUCCUGGAUUUCAGUGAGGCCCACAACAGGACCAAGCUACGCAGUGGUCCAGGCAGCUGUGCUUUGUCACUAAAGCUGUAUGUUCCAGCAGAUCUAAUGGUGUUUGAAGUGGCAGUAGCAGAUAAGGACGCUGCUUAGAGCCAUUGCCAGGUGCUAUUAGGUGAAUUUCAGUGCCAGCCUUAUGAUUUAGACGAGGAUUGACUGUUGCUAGCAUUUACUGAUAACUAUUUUCCUGUUGAGAAAGAGCUCUUGGUUUGCUAUUGGUUAAUAGAGACUGAACACUUAACUAUGUGCCACCACGUUACGUGACCUGAGCUGCCUGUCAUGAACUGGGUGUCAUCUGACCCAGCAAGCCAUAAAGUUGGGUAUGCCCAGCAGCACUCCAUCAUCAAAUGGAAGUGGUAUACCUAUGACUGGACUUGGCUAUGCUCCUGUUCGGAUAAGCUCAUACUGAAUUAGACUGGACCCUAAACCUAGUAUCACUGGUGUCCACAUGAGAAGAGGAAAUUUUGAACAUGAAAGACAGAUACGGAAAAAAUACCAUGUGAAGACAGAGGCAGAGAUUAGAAUGAUGGGUAUGUAAGCCACAGAAAGGCAAGGAUGGCCGACAACUACCAGAAACCAGAAGAGGCAAGAAAGGAAUCUUUGGACCCCACAGGUGGCAUGAAAAUUAAGCCUGUAACCUCCAAGCCAGCAUGGAUAGAGGAAGAGGAGGAUCAUGCAUGGGAGGCUUUUAUGAGCCAGUCCUGGAAGUAGCACACGUCAUUUCAUACUCCAGUGGCUGGAACUCAGUCAGAUGAUGCCAACACAGCUGAACUGUAUGUCCAAAGGAAGGAGCAAAUCUUUCCCCCAAAUAAUUGUAUCAUAUUGGCACACAUCAAAAGUCCACUGCCUCUAGCUGGCCCUUUACCGAAGCAGUUAAGGACUGUGCGUUGGAAGCUGAUCCCACAUGGCUGGCCACAGUUCAAAUUCUGGUCCUGGCAGCUUGAGAAACGUGCCAGCACACAUCUAUCUGUAUGUGCUUAAAAUGCAGGAAGACAGUAUGGAGGAAAAAGGAUUGUGGCAUGACCACACCCUGUUGGGGAGAUGCUCUCUCUCUCUCUGGUAAGUGCACCACUCCUACAACAAUUAAAAUGAAUUGCCUUUUACAACCUACCUUCAAUCUAAUAACUUCUCUUUCCUUGCACCAGAGAAAUGAAGCCUAGACUAGUGGAAGUAUCUUCAGAUCUGGCACUAAAUUCACAUCUGAUUUUAUUACCUAUAGCUAACAUCAUCACAGUAGUGAAAAACUGAAAGAUUUCUCCAUAAGAUGAGGAAAAAUAAAAAGAAGUCUUUUCUAAUCGCUUUUAUUCAACAUGAGGUUCUAGCUAGGGCAGUUAGGCAGUGGAAAGAAAUAUACAGAUUAGAAAAGAAGUAAAACCAUCUCUAUUUGCAGAUGGGAAUGCUCCUAUAUAAAAGAUAUCCUGAGGAAUAAAAAACGAACAAAAACUACUGAAACUAACAAGUACUGCAAAAUUGCAGGGCACAAGAUCACUACGUAAAAAUAAAUCUAGUGGUACCACAUAAAGAAUAAUAUAGUCAGGACCAGCAAAUGGCUCAAUGGUUACAUCGCUGGACUCCCAUGUACUCAACUGC